AUGCAAGUCGAGCGCACAGAUAAGGAGCUUGCUCCUUUGACGUUAGCGGCGGACGGGUGAGUAACACGUGGGUAACCUACCUAUAAGACUGGGAUAACUUCGGGAAACCGGAGCUAAUACCGGAUAACAUUUGGAACCGCAUGGUUCUAAAGUGAAAGAUGGUUUUGCUAUCACUUAUAGAUGGACCCGCGCCGUAUUAGCUAGUUGGUAAGGUAACGGCUUACCAAGGCGACGAUACGUAGCCCACCUGAGAGGGUGAUCGGCCACACUGGAACUGAGACACGGUCCAGACUCCUACGGGAGGCAGCAGUAGGGAAUCUUCCGCAAUGGGCGAAAGCCUGACGGAGCAACGCCGCGUGAGUGAUGAAGGGUUUCGGCUCGUAAAACUCUGUUAUUAGGGAAGAACAAAUGUGUAAGUAACUGUGCACGUCUUGACGGUACCUAAUCAGAAAGCCACGGCUAACUACGUGCCAGCAGCCGCGGUAAUACGUAGGUGGCAAGCGUUAUCCGGAAUUAUUGGGCGUAAAGCGCGCGUAGGCGGUUUCUUAAGUCUGAUGUGAAAGCCCACGGCUCAACCGUGGAGGGUCAUUGGAAACUGGGAAACUUGAGUGCAGAAGAGGAAAGUGGAAUUCCAUGUGUAGCGGUGAAAUGCGCACAGAUAUGGAGGAACACCAGUGGCGAAGGCGACUUUCUGGUCUGUAACUGACGCUGAUGUGCGAAAGCGUGGGGAUCAAACAGGAUUAGAUACCCUGGUAGUCCACGCCGUAAACGAUGAGUGCUAAGUGUUAGGGGGUUUCCGCCCCUUAGUGCUGCACCUAACGCAAUAAGCACUCCGCCUGG
rnacentral:rRNA from 1 species